rfam:Schistosoma mattheei strain Denwood, Zambia genome assembly, scaffold: SMTD_contig0014416
ACUCUGUGGACGAGUCCCAUUUAGGACGAAACGUGCGUCCAGGAU